rnacentral:rRNA from 1 species
GUGGGGAAUCUUGCGCAAUGGGCGAAAGCCUGACGCAGCCAUGCCGCGUGAAUGAUGAAGGUCUUAGGAUUGUAAAAUUCUUUCACCGGGGACGAUAAUGACGGUACCCGGAGAAGAAGCUCCGGCUAACUUCGUGCCAGCAGCCGCGGUAAUACGAAGGGGGCUAGCGUUGCUCGGAAUUACUGGGAGUAAAGGGCGCGUAGGCGGACAGCUUAGUCAGAGGUGAAAGCCCAGUGCUCAACCUUGGAAUUGCCUUUGAUACUGGCUGUCUUGAGUUUGGGAGAGGUGAGUGGAACUCCGAGUGUAGAGGUGAAAUUCGUAGAUAUUCGGAAGAACACCAGUGGCGAAGGCGACUCACUGGCCCAAUACUGACGCUGAGGCGCGAAAGCGUGGGGAGCAAACAGGAUUAGAUACCCGAGUAGUCC